rnacentral:rRNA from 1 species
GAUGAACGCUAGCGGCAGGCUUAACACAUGCAAGUCGGAGGGGUAACAUUGUGCUUGCACAGAUGACGACCGGCGCGACGGGUGCGUAACGCGUAUAGAACCUACCUUUUACAGAGGGAUAGCCUUUAGAAAUGAAGUAUUAAUACCUCAUGGUACUGAGUUUUGGCAUCAAGACUUAAUUAAAGAUUUAUCGGUAAAAGAUGGCUAUGCGUCCUAUUAGCUAGAUGGUAAGGUAACGGCUUACCAUGGCAACGAUAGAUAGGGGUCCUGAGAGGGAGACCCCCCACACUGGUACUGAGACACGGACCAG